UACCCGCAGCUCAAGUGGUGGUCAUUAUUAUUGGGCCUAAAGCGUCCGUAGCAGGCUUGUUAGAUGCCUGGGUAAAUCGAUGCGCUUAACGCAUCGAAUUCCGGGUAGACCGGCAAGCUCGAGACCGGGAGAGGCGUGAGCUACUCAAGGGGUAGGGGUAAAAUCCUGUAAUCCUUUGGGGAGGACCAGUGGCGAAGGCGUCACGCUAGAACGGCUCUGACUGUGAGGGACGAAGCCCUGGGGCGCAAACCGG
rnacentral:rRNA from 1 species